AACGAACGCUGGCGGCGUGCCUAACACAUGCAAGUCGUGCGAGAAAGUUCCUUCGGGAGCGAGUAAAGCGGCGCACGGGUGAGUAACACGUAGGUAACCUGCCCCCCAGUCUGGAACAACUAGAGGAAACUCUAGCUAAUGCCGGAUGAGACCACGAUCCCUUCGGGGGUUGCGGCCAAAGAUGGCCUCUACUUGUAAGCUAUCGCUGAGGGAUGGGGCCUGCGGGCCAUUAGCUUGUUGGUGAGGUAACGGCUCACCAAGGCUGUGAUGGCUAGCUGGUCUGAGAGGAUGACCAGCCACACUGGGACUGAGACACGGCCCAGACUCCUACGGGAGGCAGCAGUGGGGAAUAUUGCGCAAUGGGCGAAAGCCUGACGCAGCGACG
rnacentral:rRNA from 1 species